UAUUCGGUACUUAACCAAGAUCGUAUCACUGUUCAUAUUGUAAAGAUAUCAGCUAACAGAUGAGGAGGGGUUUCACCAAGAGCUAAGCUGCAAACUCAGAACAUUCAUAACAAAGUUGGCCACCAUUCCCAAACUCCCUCCCUCUGUGAAGGAUCUGGAAGAAGAGAUAUUAUGACCAGCUGCUCCACAAUACUCUGUAGGCUUACGCCACGCCAGAUAAGAAGUACGAGUUGGGAUAUAACGCCCCCUCAAAAUGACUAAUGCACCUAAUUCACCUUUAACUAGCGAAUCCAUAAUUGCUCAUAAAAGUCAUUGACUCUUUCUUUGUUGCUAACAUUGUUAAUUUUUUAUCAAUAUUAUUAUUACAAAACCUUCAUCUGUGUGAUUAAUGAUCUUUACCAAACAAACACAUUUGGCAGGGCUGCUGACUUUGCUUGCGUCUAGUGAAGUCUGCCAUGCAUAUAGCUUUGCAUGUCAUUCAUACACACUAGUUACAGUCACCUAUUUUAACUUUCAAAAAAUCACCAAAAAGACAAACCUUAAGUCUUACUGUCGUGUAAGAAUUCUGCUGCUAGUAGCUUGCAUUCCUUAACAAUACUUGAACCAUCUACCUAGUUAGACCAUUCUAGCAAUAGGACUUCACAACAAUAAAAAAAUACAUUUACGAGUGAUGCUUACCAGCAAGGCAUUGUAUCAAAAGGGCCGGGAAGGGUCCAGAUUUGCUUUAGGUAUACAGCUAUAUAUACUUGUUUUCCCACGGGCUGGCAAUAUAUACACACAGUUUCUAGAUGUCCAACUAAAAGGAGUUCAGCUGGCGUCCUGACCUUUAACUGGUGUCCCAGCUAUAUGAGCUCAUAGCCAGUACGCGGUAUCAAAUUGCGGUAACUGCAUGGAGUCCCAGCCAGUACGCGGUAACUGCAUGCAUGGAGUCCCAUGAGCUAAGUGCAGGCUGGAGUCCCAGAUAGUGAACAAGUCUACUACAGUAUAUUACUGAGAACUUCGGAAACGAAAGAUAUAGGCAUUGCCAGAAAGCAAAUUAAAUAUUAACUUUCCGCAAACCUCAACUGACAAGAAAGAGGUAUACACUAUAUUUUAUAUCUCUUUGCAUAUGCUCCCUCUUCUUUAUCUGUGAUGAUUAAACUAAGUAAAAAAAGAGGGAAAAAAAUAGCCGGCGUCCCGACCUUCUGCGCAAGCUAGAGUCCUAGCCAGUAACUGGAGUCCCAGUUAAGUAGUAGUCCCGACCAGUGCACCAAUACAGCCGACAACUUAGAAACGAGAUGUGCAACGCAUGCCGGAGUCCCGACCACCUAUACUUCCGCUCCAAAGUAACAGUAAGGGAUUGGCUUUGUUCACUCGAUGUCAGGAACGGAAGUUAAAUUUAACCACAACCACACCCCUAGAAUUCUUCAGCAGUUGCACUGGGACUGGGCACAACAAUAUUAUGGAGGAGUAGUGGAUGAUGUUGAAUGCCUCCUAGGGCUGCACAGCUCUACUGUACUAUGAGUACCAGGACUUCAGUGAGCAAGGUGCAGGUGCAGGUGCAUGGACGAUGAACAGACUCACAUUGUUACCAAACAACCAUUCACUCGGAUCUAAGAAACAAAGGCAACAAAGUUUGCAGCUCUAAAGCAAGUACUCUUGGGAAAGAAAGUGGAGACAAUAAAAUGUAGUAACAUAAUGUUCAAGAGAUUAUCACGGAUAAAGGCACUAAGACAGGCUAAGGAGAAAUUACUGGAAGAAAACGCUCCUGCUGAGUCCAUCUAGAAUCUCAGCCACAAAGCAGUAAAUUCUUUGUUUCACUACACGCUUUAAUGAAUGUACCUGCAUGUAAAUGCAUGAGAUAUAUAAAUGAUUGAUUAUGGCAAACAGGGAGAAAGAGGUACAACGAAUACUCUGAGAAGAUUGUCUUGGUUACAAGAUGCCUGCAUAGUGCCG